UUUUUCUCCCUCAAGCAGUAGAUCACAACAGUGGGCUUAAACUAUGCAGUAAACCAUCCUGUAAACAGAUGUGCUGUCAUCUAAGCUUUGUAGUUCCAUUUAUAGAGCACAGGCAGAGUAGAUUUAGCAGAAUAAUUAAGGGCCUUAGGAUUUUGGGGAGAGUAAAUGAGCACUGGCUUCAACUUAAUGUCACCAGUUGCAUUGAGCCCCUAAAAGGAAAGUUAGCCUGUCCCUUGAAGGUAAGCAUUGACUUCUCCUCUCUAGUUAUGAAAGUCUAUUGCAUCUUCUUGCAAGAGAAGGCUGCUCCAUUUACAUUUGAAAAUCUGUUGUUUAGUGUAGCCACCUUUAUUGGUGAUCUUAGCUAGGUCUUCCAGACAACUUGCUGCAGUUUCUACAUUAGCACUUGCUGUUUCACUUUGUACUUUCAUGUUAUGGAGGUGGCUUUUCCUUAAACCUCAUGCACCAACCUCUGUUA